GAUGUGGAGUGUUAUAUCAAACAUGAGUAGAAUUCAAUAUGAUUCAAAAGUGGACACGAAAACCUAAA
rnacentral:sRNA from 12 species